AUUGAACGCUGGCGGCAGGCUUAACACAUGCAAGUCGAGCGAGCGGCGGACGGGUGAGUCAUGUCUGGGACACUGCCUGAUGGUUGGGGAUCACUACUGUAAACGGUAUCUACUUCCGCAUACUAUCAGCUGUUCCCAGAUGUGAUUAGCUAGUAGUUGGGGUAAUGGCUCACCCAGGUGACGAUCCCUAGCUGGUCUGAGAGGAUGACCAGCCACACUGGAACUGAGAAACGGUCCAGACUCCUACGUGAGGCAGCAGUGGGGAAUAUUGCACAAUGGGCGCAAGCCUGAUGCAGACAUGCCGCGUGUGUGAAGAAGGCCUUCGGGUUGAAAAGCACUUUAAGCGGGGGGGCGUUACUCGCAGAAGAAGCACCGGCUAACUCCGUGCCAGCAGCCGCGGUAAUAC
rnacentral:rRNA from 1 species